AGAGGGAGAGAGGAAGAGGACAAUGAUUCUUCUAAAAUAUGUGCCUGGUUCAACAAGAUGAAAGAGACAUGUAAAGAAGAAUUCACCAACCCCUGUGACUGAAUUUGAGCGAUAAUGUCAAUGGAAUUAACACAUUGCCAUUGUUGAAUGGUCUCCUGUGGCUAUAUAAACAUCAAGCCCCAGCCAUUGCUGCAGAUCCUUCCUCUCUUUGUCCCUUCGGACAUCAAAGGAUUGCAAGGGGACAGCCCUGGCAAGAAGCUCCUCCCUGCUCAUUAGCCUCCAUAAAACAGGAACUCACCUUGGCUGGCUGUGCCUGGAGUGCCAUCC